CGAAUACUCCCUCCGUCCCAAAAUUCCUAUCUUACAUUUGUCAAGAUACAGAUGUAUCUAGUCACAUUUUAGUGUUAAAUACAUAUGUAUCUAAAAAAAUUUAAACAAGAAUUUUGGGACAGAGGUAAUGUAUU
rnacentral:pre_miRNA from 1 species